GUAAUCACAAGGCUUUCUAUUUCCAAAGAAUUAUUAGAGGUUUCAAGAAGUUUUCUAAGGUUUUAUUCAGUGGCAGAAGACUUCUUUCAUUGAAUAAAUUAUAAAGAAACAACCAGUGACAAAAUAGUAUCACUUUAUGAUUAGACCUCAUGAAUCCUAACACAUUAGUCACACUGUGAUGGUUAAUACUGAGUGUCAACUUGUUUGAAGGAUCAAAGUAUUGUUAUUGGGUGUGUCUGUGAGGGUGUUGCCAAAGGAGAUCAACAUUUGAGUCAGUGGACUGGGAAAGGCAGACCCUAACCUUCAUCUGGGUGGGCACAAUCUAAUCAGCUGCCAGCAUAGCCAGAAUAAAAGCAGGCAGAAGAACAUGGAAAGAUGAGACUGGCUUAGCCUCCGAGCCUACAUCUUUCUCCCAUGCUGGAUGCUUCCUAUCUUCAAACAUCAGACUCCAAGUUCUUCAGCUUUGGGACUUGGACUGGCUUCGUUGCUCCUCAGCUUGCAUACAGCCUAUUGUGGGACCUCAUCUUGUGAACAUUCUCCACCCCUUCAAGCAAUAGCAAGAUUGAGCAGCAUUCACCGCCCAGGGAAGACAUCAAUUAUAAGCAGAAUGAAGAUAAGGAAGAGAUCAAAGGCCUGGAAGAAUACUGAGCAAGGGCAAGACUUCCCAUGCUAGGCCAGAACAGAUCUAGAGACCUGUAGGGUCGGAAGGGGAGAGAUGAAGAGGAAGCAAAGAGAGUGAAAAAAUGAGGCUGGAAGGAUGACCUCGGAAGUCACAUGCUGAAGAUGGAAGACAUGUUGUAGUGCUGCAUUGACCUGGGGCUCAGACAUCUCAGACUCUUGUAGAAAAAAAAAAAAAAAAAAAACAAGACACAACUUUAUUGGGUUUGGUCUUACUUAUUAUACAUAUAUGCAUUACUACAUUAAUAUAUCUUGUUCCAGCAGCUUAGUUUUUACUUUUAGCCUCUAGAGGAUUUAGUGAUUUAAGUAGCCAUGAAGGGUAAAGAACACCAGGGAUUUCACAAUGACUAAAUUUAACAGCACAGAUGGCAGGGUUGAUAGUGUGCCAUUAUUUGAGUUAAAGAAAAAGCAAAAGAAAUUGCAGCUCUGGGGAGAUGAUAAUAAACUCACAUUUUGAAGGAUGAAGUUUAUGUUACUUGUGGGAUAUCCUGUUGGAGAUAUUCAGUAGGUUUUUAGACAGUCCUGGAUCUGAGAAAAAUAUGAAAGGUUUAUAGAAGCCAGAUGCGGCAGGGAAUACAUAGGGAGAGGUUGUGCAGCUAGAAGAGAAGGCAGUCAAUUACAAGACCCCCAGAAACCAAAAGCAAUAAAUAAAUAAAUAAGGAAGACUGUCAUAAAAACAAUGUUGAAUGAUGAAACAAAAAACAAAAAAUAGGUGCUAAAAAACACACCCAUUCACACAGUGUGAUAUUAUUUAAAGAAAAGUUAAAAUAUACCAAAAUAUGACAUGACACAUUAUGUACAGGUACAUACUAUGUAGCAAAAGAAUAUUUAAAAUGCAUGUGAUUGUAAACAUGCAAGUUUGGAUAAUGGUUACACUUUCAUUUGGGCAUGAAGGAACAUACAAUCUGGGAGGAACACAUAGGGAACUUGAAAUUUGUUGAUAGUGUUUUAUUUAUUAAAAUGGAAGCAGGUACAGAAGUGCUCACUUUUUACAUAGUUCACAUGAUUUGAUAACAAAAUUUAAACCUAAAAUGCAGAAAAGAAAGAGAGUUUUACAAAGUAGGAUGCAGUUAACAAUAACAAAGGAAGAUGAGAAAUAGAAAAUGACAAUUGAAUUUGACAGCCAGUAGUUAAUUAAUGACAUUUAGAAGAGGAAUUUUAGUAAGUACAGGGGAACUGAGUUAGAUUUUUAAAAAAUGGAAUGUGUAAAAUUCCACAUUUACAUUCUAAACAUUACACUAUUUUUGUUGUGCUAUUCACUCUAGGAAAUUGCCUUAUAAUGAGGAGAAAUAAAUAAAUUUUACAUUCUGUAGUAAUUAGAGGAAAAGAUACUAAUGAGAUGAUAACUGCUCUAAUUCAUCUAAUAAAAUAUUUUUGAUUGGGUUAGUUUAUUAUAGGAAUCAGCUAUAAAAUAUUAAUCAUUUCUCACUAGUAUAUUAGAAAUAACUCUUAAAUCUGUUAAAGGUACAUAAAUUCUAGUGGGCACCUGAAUGUAAAAUAAUGAAAAGUAAAAAGACUCUGAAGAGAAAUUUUUUUUUAAAUUUAGGAAGCCAGUAAACCAUUUUCAAAAGAGUAUUUGUUAUGUUCUAAUAUUUGCGUCUCCCCGAAUUCAUAUGUUGAAACUCUAACCCGUAAGGCGAUGGCAUUAGGAGCCUUUGGGAAGUUAUUAGGUCAUGAGGGUUCCUCUUGCAUGAAUAGGAUUCCUGCCCUUAUAAAAAUGGCCCAAGAGAGCUCGCUGGCCCUUUCAGCCACAUAAGGACACAGUGAAAAAACGUUUAUAAACCAGGAAGUGGGCCCUCACCAGACACUGAACCUGUUGGCACUUUGAUUUAGAACUUCCCAGUCUCCAGAGCUGUGAGAAAUAAAUGUUGGUUGUUUAUAAGCCACACAGCCCAUGGUAAUUUGUUAUAGCAGCCUGAACAGGCUAAGACAGUUAUGUAAAUAUUACUCUUCCAAAAUAUUUUUCUUUUUUUUUUUUUUUUUUUUUGAGAUGGAGUUUCACUCUUGUUGCCCAGGUUGGAGUGCAAUGGCACGAUCUUGGCUCAUCACAACCUCCACCUCCUGGGUCCAAGCGAUUCUCCUG
rnacentral:lncRNA from 1 species